GAUGAAGAACGCAGCGAAAUGCGAUAAGUAAUGUGAAUUGCAGAAUUCAGUGAAUCAUCGAAUCUUUGAACGCACAUUGCGCCCGCCAGUAUUCUGGCGGGCAUACCUGUUCGAGCGUCAUUUCAACCCUCAAGCCCUGCUUGGUGUUGGGGAUCGGCGUUGCCUCCUCCGUCGUUCGCGGCGGGGUGAGGUCGCCGCCCCCGAAAUGAAUUGGCGGUCUCGUCGCAGCUUUCCUUUGCGUAGUAACAUACCACCUCGCAACCAGGAGCGCGGCGCGGCCACUGCCGUAAAACGCCCAACUUUUUCAAGAGUUGACCUCGAAUCAGGUAGGAAUACCCGCUGAACUUAAGCAUAUCAAUAAGCGGAGGA
rnacentral:misc_RNA from 1 species